rnacentral:rRNA from 1 species
AUUGAACGCUGGCGGAAUGCUUUACACACGCAAGUCGAACGAUGAAGUCUAGCUUGCUAGACGGAUUAGUGGCGAACGGGUGAGUAAUAUAUCGGAACGUAUCCAUUAAUGGGGGAUAACUAGUCGAAAGAUUGGCUAAUACCGCAUACGUCCUACGGGAGAAAGCUGGGGAUCGUAAGACCUGGCGUUAAUGGAGCGGCCGAUAUCUGAUUAGCUAGUUGGUGAGGUAAAGGCUCACCAAGGCGACGAUCAGUAGCUGGUCUGAGAGGACGACCAGCCACACUGGAACUGAGACACGGUCCAGACUCCUACGGGAGGCAGCAGUGGGGAAUUUUGGACAAUGGGCGAAAGCCUGAUCCAGCCAUUCCGCGUGAGUGAAGAAGGCCUUCGGGUUGUAAAGCUCUUUCGCAAGGGAAGAAAACUUAUCCUCUAACAUAGGGUGAGGUUGACGGUACCUUGAUAAGAAGCACCGGCUAACUACGUGCCAGCAGCCGCCGUAA